CUGAGCUUUGAACAACUCUGAGGAUGUUACCAAGAGUCUGGCGCUGAAAAGCUGAAUAUGUGACUAGCCAACA
rfam:Pteropus vampyrus cont1.48263, whole genome shotgun sequence.